rnacentral:rRNA from 1 species
AAUGAACGCUGGCGGCAGGCCUGACACAUGCAAGUCGAACGGAUCCUUCGGGAUUAGUAGCGGACGGGUGAGUAACGCGUGGGAACAUACCCUUUGGUACGGAAUAGCCUCGGGAAACUGGGAGUAAUACCGUAUGUGGUCGAGAGACGAAAGAUUUAUCGCCAAAGGAUUGGCCCGCGUUGGAUUAGGUAGUUGGUGGGGUAAUGGCCUACCAAGCCGACGAUCCAUAGCUGGUUUGAGAGGAUGAUCAGCCACACUGGGACUGAGACACGGCCCAGACUCCUACGGGAGGCAGCAGUGGGGAAUCUUAGACAAUGGGGGAAACCCUGAUCUAGCCAUGCCGCGUGAUCGAUGAAGGCCUUAGGGUUGUAAAGAUCUUUCAGGUGGGAAGAUAAUGACUGUACCACCAGAAGAAGCCCCGGCUAACUCCGUGCCAGCAGCCGCGGUAA